AUUGAACGCUGGCGGCAUGCCUUACACAUGCAAGUCGAACGGCAGCACGGGUGCUUGCACCUGGUGGCGAGUGGCGAACGGGUGAGUAAUACAUCGGAACGUACCUUAUCGUGGGGGAUAACGCAGCGAAAGCUGUGCUAAUACCGCAUACGCCCUGAGGGGGAAAGCGGGGGAUCGAAAGACCUCGCGCGAUUAGCGCGGCCGAUGGCUGAUUAGCUUGUUGGUGGGGUAAAAGCCCACCAAGGCGACGAUCAGUAGCUGGUCUGAGAGGACGAUCAGCCACACUGGGACUGAGACACGGCCCAGACUCCUACGGGAGGCAGCAGUGGGGAAUUUUGGACAAUGGGGGCAACCCUGAUCCAGCAAUGCCGCGUGAGUGAAGAAGGCCUUCGGGUUGUAAAGCUCUUUUGUCAGGGAAGAAACACCGGCUCUAACACAGUCCGGGAAUGACGGUACCUGAAGAAUAAGCACCGGCUAACUACGUGCCAGCCGCCGCUGUAA
rnacentral:rRNA from 1 species